rnacentral:rRNA from 1 species
CGAAGGGGGCUAGCGUUGUUCGGAAUUACUGGGCGUAAAGCGCGCGCAGGCGGUCUUUUAAGUCAGGGGUGAAAGCCCAGAGCUCAACUCUGGAAUUGCCUCUGAAACUAGAAGACUUGGGUACGGGAGAGGUGAGUGGAAUUCCGAGUGUAGAGGUGAAAUUCGUAGAUAUUCGGAAGAACACCAGUGGCGAAGGCGGCUCACUGGCCCGUUACCGACGCUCAGGCGCGACAGCGUGGGGAGCAAACAGGAUUAGAUACCCUGGUAGUCCACGCUGUAAACGAUGGAUGCUAGCCGUUGGUAAGCAUGCUUAUCAGUGGCGCAGCUAACGCAUUAAGCAUCCCGCCUGGGGAUACGGCCGCAAGGUUG